rnacentral:lncRNA from 1 species
UCGUCAAGUCAAAAUACUAAAUAAAGUUUUUUUUUUAAAAUAAAGGAUUGUAUUCAUUAUUAUUAUGAUCGUUAUUAGAGUGGAAGCGAGAAAAAGAAUAAUCGAGAGAAUAAAAGUUUGAGAGAAAAAGGCUUUGAGAGAUUGGUGUUGCGGCCGUUAAGCUCCUUUGUCUUUGGGUGUAGAGUUUUGCGGUCGUCGGCUUGAAUAGUUUUGUUUGUCUUUUGUUGUUGAGUUUUGGUAUUUCUUUGUUCGAAUCGUUUUGGGUUUUGUUCUGGGUGAUCAUUUUCUUGUUGCUGUUGGCGAGGAUAUCGACCAGUGAUUUGGAAUCUGUUGAUUCCGUUCGACUGCUCUAUGACUAUCCAAGACUGAAAGCAUCAUGGGCCAGUUGUCUUUUCGGUAGCUGUUAGCGAUGACCCUUGCGCCUGUGGUGGAAGUUUCGCAUCGACCCUUGGAGGGGUUUUUGGGUUUGCGAUUCUAUUGGUGGUUGCAUCUCUGUUCAUCCGCUUUGCUUACUCUUGGUUGCAAUGAGUGAAGUUGGUUGUUGUGUUGUCGUUGGGUUUUGAAUGGCUUUUUGUGGUUUGGAGCUCUAUUUGGUAGUUGCUCUAGUUUUGUCGCCAGAACUGUUUAGCCGGGCAGUGGUACUGCGAUUUCUUUUUCGAUGAUUGAUUCUUUUCCAGUGAUUUGGGUUUUUGAGCUUGGGUAUCGGGUUGGGCUGUUGGACUUCAGCUUGUCUGCUUUUGAGAUUUUGUUAUUUUCUUAAGCCAUCUUUUACUUCCAUCUCUGUGAGACUCUGUAUGUUGCCUGUUGGAUUUUUAAUGCAAAUUUUUUUGCA